rnacentral:lncRNA from 1 species
GCCGGGUGUGGUGGCGGGCGCCUGUAGUCCCAGCUACUCGGGAAGCUGAGGCAGGAGAAUCGCUUGAACCUGGGAAGCGGAGCUUGCAGUGAGCGGAGAUCGUGCCGCUGCACUCCAACCUGGGCGACAGAGUGAGACUCUGUCUGAAAAAAAUAAAAAAUAAAAAUAAAAAUAAAAAAUGAGAUAUGAGACAGAGUUUCGUUCUUGCUGCCCAGGCUGGAGUGCAGUGGCGCAAUCUCGCCUCACUGCAACCUCCGCCUUCUGGGUUCAAGUGAUUCUCCUGC